UUAGUCUCUGUGACAGUGAGUAAUGACUUUGCAGAGAAAUUUGAAAUCUCUUCCACUACUAACAUAACUCUUUGAAGAGAAGUGUGAGGAAGUCUUAAUAUAUGGGCUGCAUAUACCUUAUAAUCUCACAUCACGCUACCAGCUAAGUUAGACAACACUUUGUGUGUGUGUGCAAGAACAAUAAGUAGGAAACAUCAUUAUAGCAUUUUUAAUAGGACUUUCCAAAAAAUAAAAAUAAUAUGUAUUUGAAUAGUUCCAUAAAUAAUUCUGGUGCAUUCUUGAUAGAAAUAUUACAGAGCACCAAAAAGGAAUUGCUUACUUCAUCAACAGUGCAUCCAUCAGAACUCUAGGUGGAAAUAAAUGCCAUGCCUUAAUUGGGUAAUAUGAGUUCAGGACAGGAAAGAAAGUACUUACAAAGUAGGGCAUAUGAGCAUAGUAAGGCCAAUGAGAGCAUAGAUUAACUUUUCUUUACAAUAGAGGGGACUGAGGGUGAAAAUAAUUGCUGACACUGAAUGUGGGCAACUGUGAGCAGAGAACCUUCUCACUGUGCUUGUGGCUUCUAACCUUGGAGAUGAGUUACCCCAAGGAAACUAGACAGGAGGAGGAGGUAAGAUAAAUUGUCCUACCUCACCCCUUCCUCCAGUUAUCUGUCCUAAAUAUCACAGCCUUUCCUCAAGGGUGAAAAGAUAAGAUACAUUCGUCCAGUGAUUCCAGUGAGCAGAGAAGAUAUGUGGAGAGAAGGUGAGAAGAAAAUCAUGGCUCAGAACAAUUCCAGGGCAGGAGGAUCCUGGCAGCCAAGUGAAAUGCACUUCCAAUGGGUCAUCAGCUGUGUCCUCAGGAUGAUGAUUUCAGCAUUUUAAAACUCUUUUCAAACUGGGAUGAAAUGUUACAAGAACAGUGCAAUGAAUGCCUGCAUGGGAGUCCAGUCUGCAGAUUCUUGAAAUCUACAAGAGUAAACCUAGCAAAGUCUCCUAGUAAUGGGGGAUAUGGAGCCUGAAACGGCCAUCUUUUGUCACCAGGGAAGGCUUCAAGGAGGGAUUAUGGCACGAACACAUCCAUAAAACAUUCAACCUACAGUUUGUCCUGCCUGCAGAGUGUUCUGGGACUGAAGUCUAGCAGAAUCAUCAAAGUGAACAGAGAGACUUCACCCAGCAACUGAUGGGAGCAUAUAUGUUAUGGCUGAGUAGCUUGGUGUUCCCAUGGGAUUCUUUCUUUUUAAAAAAAUCUUUAUUAUUAUUAUUAUUAUUAUUUAUU